GUGCUUGCUUUGACAGCACAUAUACUAAAAUUGGGACUAUACAGAGAAGAUUAACAUGGUUCCUGUGCAAGGAUGACACGUAAAUUCAUGAAGUGUUCCAUAUUAAA